GCCGCGGUGGCGGAACUGGUUUACGCGCACGAUUCAAAAUCGUGUAGGAGAAAUCCUGUGUGGGUUCGAAUCCCACCCGCGGCAC
rnacentral:tRNA from 1 species